rnacentral:lncRNA from 1 species
UGCAAAAGGAAAAUAAGUAUCUUCUUUAAGACAAUCUUGAAGAAGAAAAUCAAGGUGGGAGAAUUAUGUAUACCAGAUACCAAAACUUAUUUUAAAGAUACAGUAACAGACAUUGUGGUAUUGGCUCAAGGGUAGAUAAAUAAAACCGUAGAACUCAAAAACAGAAACAUACAUAUAUGGAUUUAGUUUAUGAGAAGUGGCACUGCAAAUUAAUGGGGGAAAGAGGGUUUUUUAAUAAAUUAUAAUGGAAAAAGAAAAAUGCCAAUGAAUUCCUAGCUCAAACUGUAUGUAAAAGUCAACUCCAGGGGGAUUAUGGAGCCAAAUGUGAAGGUAAAGAAUAUCUAAAAAUCAAAUUUUAAAAGACAGAAAACCAAAUACAAAUGGGCAAAAAGUCAUAAACAGACGCUUCACAGUUACUAAGUCCAAAUGGUCAAUAAACAUAUGGAAAAGUGCUCAACCUCAUUAAUAAUUAAGGAAAUGAAAGUCAAAACCACAGAAUACCACUACCAUACACAUUCAUAAGAAUGGCAAAAGAUUAAAAGGUCUGCCAAAACCAAGUGUUGCCCAGAAUGUGAUGAGAGUGAAAACUGAUACACUUACUUUGGAGAACAGUUUGAUAAAUAAGUGUUUGGGAAUAAGUGGUAAAUGAAUGAAUGAAUAUGUGAAUGAAUAUGUAAAUAAAAUGGCAGCAAAACCAUGGGCACUAUGUGAAAGGCAAUAACUUAUAAAGGACCUGCUUCUAUAAGUCUGAAAGUAUUACUAGAACAAUAAAAUCAAGUACUGCUUUCAUCAUGGAUGAAUGUAUGAAUCCAAGAGCUAAUUCAAGCUGAAAAAUACAAAUGGGCUUUCCAAAAACUGAAAAUAAUUUACUGACAGUUGACUGAAAUCCCAUUUAUAUUUUCAUUCGAUUCAACAAAUCAUUAAGAAGCACCUACUCAUAAGCUUAGGACUGAAAUACAGACAUGAAAAAUACAGCUCCUGCCCUGAAGAAACUUAUAUUUUAGUAGGAAGACAGCUGUAGGCAAUCAAUUAUACAGUGCUUCUCAAAUCAUCUAUGGUAAGGAAUCACUUCUUUCAUUUCCAAUAUGUCACAGACUGUUAUUUUUGGAAAACACAAUAAAAAUAAACGAUUAGAAAAAUAAAAUUAUCUAAAGAUAUACAAAAUAUAAGCCCCAAUUUUUUGUAGUUAUUAGAGUCAACAAACAAAAUUAUUGUCAAAUUGCCAUAACUGUUA